GAUGAACGCUGGCGGCGUGCCUAAUACAUGCAAGUCGAGCGAACAGACGAGGAACUUGCUCCUCUGACGUUAGCGGCGGACGGGUGAGUAAAACGUGGAUAACCUACCUAUAAGACUGGGAUAACUUCGGGAAACCGGAGCUAAUACCGGAUAAUAUAUUGAACCGCAUGGUUCAUUAGUGAAAGACGGUUUUGCUGUCACUUAUAGAUGGAUCCGCGCCGCAUUAGCUAGUUGGUAAGGUAACGGAUUACCAAGGCAAGGAUGCGUAGCCGACCUGAGGGGAGGAUCGGCCACACUGGAACUGAGACACGGUCCAGACUCCUACGAUAGGCAGCAGUAGGGAAUCUUCCGCAAUGGGCGAAAACCUGACGGAGCAACGCCGCGUGAGUGAUGAAGGUCUUCGGAUCGUAUAACUCUGUUAUUAGGGAAGAACAAAUGUGUAAGUAACUAUGCACGUCUUGACGGUACCUAAUCAGAAAGCCACGGCUAACUACGUG
rnacentral:rRNA from 1 species